rnacentral:lncRNA from 1 species
AGAGAGAUAAACAACCACAAUUAUCCCUUUUCUUUUUUAGUUCCAAACGACAUCCCAAACCUGACCAUUCUCCAAAUACAACCGCCAUGAAAACCUAUUCUCUCUGUUCUCUCUAAGACCUAAACAUAACGUUAGCCACCGCCGCCACCCAAAACCAACCCCAAUCCUUUUAAUCCCUGUCUGAUCUAUGGCUUCCCAUGGCUAUACAAGGACUCUACUUGUCUCUUAUCUCCCUUGGUUGCUCGAUUGUGUAAUUUCGUGGAAGAAUUUUGAAGAGAUCUGGUCUAGAUCUCAUUUUAAACUAUUUAAAAGUCCAUCUAUGGUUUGUGAAUAAUUUCUAUCAAAGUCUCAUGGUUCAAAUCCUUGAUUCAAAGGCCAUAUUCUCAUACCCUUUCUCUUUUCUUCAAGAAACCUAAUGUUUGGACUUGAAUCGGUUCAUAUCUCCACAGAUCUGGAGCAAUCAUGAGUUCAUUGAUUUUCCUUGCUUCUUCACUGGUUAAUUGAUGUCCGAACAGUUUUUUUAUUAUAUUAUAGUUUGUUUUUUUGUUGUUGUUUGUUGGUCGAACCUCUAGGUAUCUGAAGUAUUUUCAAACUUCCAUGGAUAUUCUUUUGGGUUCUUUUACUUCUUUACUAAUAACCAAUUUUUAAAUUUCACAAUACUUCAGGCUUUGACUUUUUUUGUUUGUUUGAAUCUCUGUGUGUUGACAUACCUUCAAGUUGUUUUUCUUUAAGUGUUUCAAACUAGGGUUUCAUCCCUUUAAGUUUUCUGCAAAAAUUCUAAAUUUAUUCAGUGUUUGAUUGUGGUUCUCUUUACUUGUUCGAUUUAUUUUCUAUACUUUAAUCCAUAGGGUUUCUACUUAUUUCACUGAUUAUUUCAAUAUUUGCCCGUUAUUGUUUAGUUCUGUCAAUAGAUUGACUGAUUUUAUUUGGCUAAUUGGGGUUCAGUUAUAUUUUUUACCGAGAUUGGUACUUCUUGUGAUUUGUUUCCUUAUUUGUUACUCAUGAUUGGUACUAGUUGCCCUAACUAGUUUAUUAGCUUGAUUUAUGGGCUAAUUGCUUUAAUCGACUCCUAGAUGGUCUUUGAUUGAUUGAUUUACCUUGCUGAACAUAUAACUUGACUAUUAAUUGAUUCUCCCUAAUUUAAGGGGUUCUUUUCGGAUUCUGUUGAAUUAUUUAUUUGAGUUAUCCGCAACUAACUAUUUUAUUUUACUUGCAUACCUUAUUUGGAACUCUCAAUUACUCUUUGCCUUAUUUUUUUUACUCUGCUAAAUGCUAUAUAAUCUCUCCAUUCUGAUUUUGAAAAGGAAUGAACAUUAGUUCAUCAACACUCUCAUACUCUCAAAAGCUCUCUAUUCUCUUAUGUUACUUGUAAUUCUCACUAACCCAGCCGGCUAUAAGCCAAGGCUCAUUAUUUGCAUCAUCUCUGCUCUAUACUCUAUAUUUUCUCCUUAACUAGUAUGUCCCGAUUCAAUUCAAAUUCCAAAACUAUGUGUUUCUUUGUUGUUUAAGUUUAUUAGUUGUGACUUCCAAUCUCGUUUACUAAUUUACUAUCAUGUUGCUCAGUGUGUAACUAGCAUGCCUAGAUCACACUGCCUAACUUUUGUCUCCCUUAGCAUGUUGGAGUUUAUUCUGACUAGUUUAUUUAUCCAUAAGAAUCUGUUUACUGUUUAGCAUUCCCAAUCUUGCCUUGUGAUAAUUGACUGCAUCUUGUUUGCUUACUAGCAUGUCAAAGCUACAUUGCUUGUUUAUUGUUUUCCCAACAUGUCUAAAUUCGGCUUGUUUUAUGGUUCUUAGUAUUUCUAAACUAUGAAUAUUUUAUGAAGUUCUUUCCUAGUUUGUUCAUCUAAAUCUUAUUUACUCUACUUUACUAAUGAGAUCCUACUAAGUCAUCUAGCCCUACAAGUACUCUGAUUGUGUGUCCAAGAUCUAUGUGUUCUCAAUAUGUCUUUGCUGCAAUUUUCGUAAUCAACUUUCAAUUUCUUGAGAAGUUUGUGCAUCUGUUUGCUUAUACACUAGGGUGUAUUCUAUGUAUUCCCAACCCCAAUCUUCAUGUGUGGAAUCUGUUUGCCCCAUAUGUUCCUGAAAGUUGUUUGUUUUUGUGACCUGCAUUCUGAUUUCAAAAAAUAUUUUUCAUGCUUUCUCAAACUAUUGUACCACCCUAACUAGUACUGGUUUCAAACAAUCUCUUCACUUCUAAGGCCUUUCUUUAUACUAUUUACCAAAACUCUUUAAAAUCAUGUCAAACACUCUUGCUCAUUCUUAGAUUAUUAAGUUUUGCCCCUCUGGUAUGUGUACUGCUUAGAGAUCCAUGAGAUCUCUCUAAGCUCUGGAAUAUCAGGGCUGGCACUUCCACACUGCUUAGGUUGGCACUUCCACACAUACACUUGUGCUAUUGCUUGUCUAGCCGACUGAAAGCAAGGCUAGACUAUGAAACUCUACUUGCUUUAAUUUUUCUGCACUUUGCUUUCUUAACUGGUAUGUUGCUAGUUCAAUUUUGAAACUCAACUCUAUGUACUCCAUUAUUUGUUAAUCCCUAUCUCUUUCUGCAUUGACUUAAUGGCUCAUGUUGUUUAAUUGCACUUCUUGUCUAUGGCUUUACUCAGCAUGCUUAAGUUCUGCCCUCUCUUGUUCAAAUGAAAUCAACAUGUCUACUUGAGUGCCAGUUUAUGUCCCUCAACUAGUAUGUCUCCUAAUGUACUUGGUUAACACCAAGUCAUGACUAAUUAUGUGUAAUAGACCCCUACAUGACUACUCAUAUACUUGUCCCUAUGUCUUGUUGCUAUUCUAAUUUCAAGCAUGAUUCCCUUGUUUACUCUUUGAAGUAAUUAUCUGUGUUCUUGAGACCAAUUAGUCCCUACUUGUUCUUUUUACUUCCUGGUCUAUAUGCACCUCUUCUCAACCAUGUUUAUGUUUUUCUGAUUAGGCCCUCUAUGUCCCCUACCCCUACUUCCCUGCUUGUAACUUCUGAAACUGGACUAUUCUUUAAACUUAUUCUGUUGUGCGUUGGCUUGUUCCAAGUUGUUGUUGCUCUUAUUCCCUUCCCCUUUCAAAAUUGUUUUUCCCUAAUUAACUCUUCUGUUGCUGUUGCAAACAUAUUUCGAACUAAUCAUUUUCCAAACUGUUUCCAACUCAUUUUUAAAUCUGUGUCAAGCACUCUCACAUAUACUCUUAGACCACUAGGUUCUACCCCUUUGCUGUGAGCCUUGCCUUGGGACCGUGGAUCUUCCUGUGAACUUGGACACAUAAAAGUUGGCCUUUCUAUACUACACUUGCUCUAUCUUGCUAUGAAAUCUGGGUGUGAGUGCUGUCCGGGAUUUUUUGAGAUUCUUAGGGAACUCUGACACACCCGCAUAUGAGAAGGACUGUGGAACAAAUCUUGGAACUUGAAUUGAUUUAUUACAUAAUUUAGGGAGGAAGUCCUAAUCAGGCUUCCUAGUGUAACUUCUUAUUUUUCAUUGCUACUUAUGUACUUCAUUUCAAUGUUGGUUUGUAAUAACUUGCUAUAAAGAAGUACUGGGGUCCGCUAGUGAAAAAGGAUGGGUUAAAUAUGCAUGCUAUAGUUAUUAAGGGUAGAAAACAUGUUAUUAGGUUUAUGUUCCUA